rnacentral:rRNA from 1 species
UACAGAGGGUGCGAGCGUUGUCCGGAAUCACUGGGCGUAAAGGGCGCGUAGGCGGCGCGGUAAGCGUGCGGUGAAAGCCCGGGGCUCAACCCCGGGUCGGCCGUGCGGACUGCCGGGCUGGAGCACUGUAGAGGCAGGUGGAAUUCCGGGUGUAGCGGUGGAAUGCGUAGAGAUCCGGAAGAACACCGGUGGCGAAGGCGGCCUGCUGGGCAGUAGCUGACGCUGAAGCGCGACAGCGUGGGGGAGC